GUGCUUGCACCUGGUGGCGAGUGGCGAACGGGUGAGUAAUACAUCGGAACAUGUCCUGUAGUGGGGAAUAGCCCGGCGAAAGCCGGAUUAAUACCGCAUACGAUCUACGGAUGAAAGCGGGGGACCUUCGGGCCUCGCGCUAUAGGGUUGGCCGAUGGCUGAUUAGCUAGUUGGUGGGGUAAAGGCCUACCAAGGCGACGAUCAGUAGCUGGUCUGAGAGGACGACCAGCCACACUGGGACUGAGACACGGCCCAGACUCCUACGGGAGGCAGCAGUGGGGAAUUUUGGACAAUGGGCGAAAGCCUGAUCCAGCAAUGCCGCGUGUGUGAAGAAGGCCUUCGGGUUGUAAAGCACUUUUGUCCGGAAAGAAAUCCUUGGUUCUAAUAUAGCCGGGGGAUGACGGUACCGGAAGAAUAAGCACCGGCUAACUACGUGCCAGCAGCCGCGGUAAUACGUAGGGUGCGAGCGUUAAUCGGAAUUACUGGGCGUAAAGCGUGCGCAGGCGGUUUGCUAAGACCGAUGUGAAAUCCCCGGGCUCAACCUGGGAACUGCAUUGGUGACUGGCAGGCUAGAGUAUGGCAGAGGGGGGUAGAAUUCCACGUGUAGCAGUGAAAUGCGUAGAGAUGUGGAGGAAUA
rnacentral:rRNA from 1 species